GUUGCCACCACAAUCAGCGUCUUCCCAUAUUCUCUCGAAUUACUCACAUCUCUAAUCAACUAAUACCAGGUUGUGGAUCGAAUUGGCAAGGAGCAUUGCAAAGUUAAUUAAGUUGAUUAUUAAUUGCAAGAGGUA